GGAGAGAUGGCAGAGUGGUCUAUUGCGGCGGUCUUGAAAACCGUUGAACUGAAAGGUUCCGGGGGUUCGAAUCCCUCUUUCUCCG
rnacentral:tRNA from 1 species